rnacentral:rRNA from 1 species
UACGUAGGGUCCAAGCGUUAUCCGGAAUCACUGGGCGUAAAGCGUGCGUAGGUGGCGCGUUAAGUGAGAUGUUAAAUCGUGUGGCUCAACCAUAUCGAUGCAUCUCAUACUGGCGUGCUAGAGGACAGCAGAGGCAAGUGGAAUUUGUAGUGUAGCAGUGAAAUGCGUAGAUAUUACAAGGAACACCGAUGGCGAAGGCAGCCAUCUGGACCGACACUGACGCUGAGGCGCGAAAGCGUGGGGAGCAAACAGG